GACGAACGCUGGCGGCGUGCUUAACACAUGCAAGUCGAACGGAAAGGCCUGCUUUCCCUUGUGGAUUGCGGGUACUCGAGUGGCGAACGGGUGAGUAACACGUGAGUGAUCUGCCCCCAACUUGGGUAUAAGCCUGGGAAACUGGGUCUAAUUUCCGAUAGGACUGCAGGGUGGUGCCUGUGGUGGAAAACGAUUUUCUAGUGGUUGGGGAUGUGCUCGCGGUCUCUCAGCUUGUUGGUGGGGUAAUGGCCUACCAAGGCGGCGACGGGUAGCCGGCCUGAGAGGGUGGACGGCCACAUUUAGACUGAGAGACGGCCCAGAGUCCUACGGCAGGCAGCAGUGGGGAAUAAUGCACAAUGGGCGGAAGCCUGAUGCAGCGACGCCGCGUGGGGGAUGACGGCCUUCGGGUUGUAAGCUCCUUUCGACCGCGAGGAAGCCACCUGGUUGGAAGGGUGGUGACGGUAGUGGUAGAAGAAGCACCGGCUAACUACGUG
rnacentral:rRNA from 1 species